AGUGAAAUAGUACCUGAAACCAUAUGCCUACAAUGUGUAGGAGCCGGCUCCAUUCGGCCUCUGGCUGGAUGAGAGUGAACCUAGUGACUGGUUAUGACAGAGGAUAGCUCCGGAUUUCCGCUAUCCACUCUCAACCAUCAACUAUUUAACGCUUGAUUCGACGGGAGUCGAAUGGAGCCGGUGACUGCCUGCCUUUUGCAUAAUGAGUCUGCGAGUUAUUGUCCGUGGCCAGCCUAAGCCGUUUUGCGGCGGAGGCGAAGGGAAACCGAGUGCCAACAGCGCGACCAAGUCGCGGGCAAUAGACCCGAAGCGGAGGUGAUCUACUCUUGAGCAGGUUGAAGCCUGGGUAACACCAGGUGAAGGACCGAACUCGUGGAUGUUGAAAAAUCCUGAGAUGACUUGAGAGUAGGAGCGAAAGACUAAUCAAACCCCGUGAUAGCUGGUUCUCUCCGAAAUCGCUUGAGGGCGAGUGUUGUGGAAGUACUCCAUGGAGGUAGAGCACUGAAUGGCUUAGGGACCCCACCAGGUUACCAAAACCAAUCAAACUCCGAAUGCCAUGGAUCUCAGUAUCACAGCAAUCAGGCAGUGGGCGAUAAGGUUCAUUGCCGAGAGGAUAACAGUCCAGACCAUCAGCUAAGGUGCCCAAAUGUGAUUAAGUGGAAAGGAUGUGACGUUGCUUAGACAGUGAGGAUGUUGGCUUAGAGGCAGCCAUCAUUUAAACAGUGCGUAACAGCUGACUCAUCGAGCGAUGUCGCGCCGAAAAUGAUUGGCGAUUAAAUCACAUACCGAAGCUAUGGAUUCGCGAGAUUUUCGAAUCUCGCGAGUGGUAGGAGAGCGUAAUCAGUGCUGCGAAGCCGGACGGAAAUGGACGGUGGAGCGCUGAUUAGUGAGAAUGCAGACACGAGUAGCGAUAAACCAGGUAAGAAUCCUGGUCGCCGUAAACCCAAGGUUUCCUGGGCCAGGUUCGUCCUCCCAGGGUUAGCCGGGAGCUAACGCGAGGCCGUAAGGCGUAGCGGAUGCACAGCAGGUUAAAUAUUCCUGCGCCGGGUAAGAAUUAGCUAUGAGAUGACGCAACGGAACACAUCGGCUAGGCAAUCGAAUGCUGAGCUUAGGCUUCGGCCGAAGCGCACCGGUGGAGAAGUUGCCGAGAAAAGUUUCAUAGUAUGUCUUAUUCGCCCGUACCGUAAACCGACACAGGUGGGUGAGUGUAAGCGCACUCAGGCGCGCGAGAGAAACCUCUCUAAGGAACUCGGCACAUUAGCCCCGUAACUUCGGGAGAAGGGGUGCCCAAAAAGGUUGCAGCAAUGUAGCCUUUGCGGGCCUCAGUAAAUUGCGUUUGGCGACUGUUUAACAAAAGCACAGCACUCUGCAAAGUCGUGAAGACGACGUAUAGGGUGUGACACGUGACCAAUGCGGAAAGAUUAAGAGAUCUUGUUAGCCGCAAGGCGAAGCUCGGUCUUUAAGUCCCCGUGAAUGUCGGCCGUAACUAUAACGGUCCUAAGGUAGCGAAAUUCCUUGUCGGGUAAGUUCCGACCUGCACGAAUCGUGUAACGACUGAACGACUGUCUCGGAGAGGAUCUCGGCGAAACUGUAACGGCGGUGAAGAUGCCGCCUGCCCGCAGUAGGACGGAAAGACCCUAUGCACCUUUACUGUAAGCUCGUAUUGUGUCUUGACUAAUCAUGCGUAGCGUAGGUGGGAGACUUCGAAGCGGGGGCCUCGGUUCCCGUGGAGUCGCAAUGUGAAACACCACUCUUGGCUAAUUAGGAUUCUAACUUCAUGCUGUCAUCCAGAUGAGGGACAGUGCGUGCGGGUCAGUUUGACUGGGGCGGUUUCCUCCCAAAGAGUAACGGAGGAGCGCUAAGCUUGGCUCAGCAUGGUUGGCAACUAUGCGUCGAGCGUAUGGGUAGAAGCCAGGUUAACUGUGAGACCAACAAGUCGAGCAGGUGCGAAAGCAGGCCCAAAUGAUCCGACGGUUUAAUGUGGAAUUGCCGUCGCUCAACGGACAAAAGGUACGCUAGGGAUAACAGGCUGAUCGAGUCCAAGAGUUCAUAUCGACGACUCGGUUUGGCACCUCGAUGUCGGCUCAUCGCAUCCUGGGGCUGGAGAAGGUCCCAAGGGUCCGGCUGUUCGCCGGUUAAAGCGGUACGCGAGCUGGGUUCAGAACGUCGUGAGACAGUUCGGUCCUUAUCCACUGUGGGCGCAGGAAACUUGAGGGGUUCCAACCUUAGUACGAGAGGACCGGGUUGGACGCACUUCUGGUGUGGCAAUUGUCGCGUCAGCGGCAUCGUUGCGUAGCCAUGUGCGGAAGAGAUAAGCGCUGAAUGCAUCUAAGUGCCAAGCUCCUCCCAAGAUAAUGUUUCCCGGACCGCAAGGUCCCUAAAGACCCCCGGAAGACCACCGGGUUGAUAGGUUAGGCGUGCAAGCGGAGCAAUCCGUUUAGCGGACUAAUACUAAUCGGUCGUGCGGCUUGAUCGC
rnacentral:rRNA from 1 species